rnacentral:lncRNA from 1 species
CUAGGACUCCUGGGAGCAGGGAGAGAAACCACUUUGCUGUUAGGGAACCAGCAUGUCUGCCCUUUCCAGGCAAAGAGAAGUGCCAAAAGCUGCUUUGGGCCUUCCCAGACUUUGAGGGCAUUUCCAUUCCAGCCUUGUGACACCAGUGCAGUGUCUGGUCUGCACGAGGUCCUUUGGCUCCUGGGUGGUUGGGCAGGCAAGACUCAAGUGUUCUAUGCAAACAGCUUGUGUUACACCCCCUGAUUCUGCAAGUUGUUCAUGCUGUGCAUGGCCAUGGUACACAAAGCUGUCCUCAGGCUGUAUUUCAGUCUCAAAUUACUGCUCAGGAUAAAACUGUAAUAGACCUACACCUCAGAGUUAAAUCAGCAUUCCGAAGUCUUACAUACAUCUUCUGGGACAUAACCUAAAAUUGUUGUUCCUGCCCACUGUGAUGAAUGAGCAGGAUGAGGGAUGCAGCCCUAGAGCCCACAGAAUGGUGUGCCUGUGCUGAGUCAUUUCUUGGUGGGUAAGAGCUGUAAGCCCAGCCCAGGGUUUCCCAGGUGGCUCCCCCAUCCCUGGAGGUGUCCAAGGCCAGGUUCUUUGGGGCCCUCAACAACCUGGUCUAGUGGAAGGUGUCCCUGCCCCUGGCAAGGGAUGGAACAAGAUGGUCUGUAAGGUCCCUUCCAACCCAAACCAUCAUUAUCAUCAUGAUAAAGAUGAUGUUAGUGUCACUUCUUAGUUUUUUCAUCAACUGAGAUUUCUCCUUCUCAUCCUUCUCUACAAGGCAGGGUAAUUUUCUGGUUGUUUCAUUUGUAUCAACAGUUUUUGUUUAAUAUCCCUCCACAGUUGAAAAGCUGGGCUAAGAUUAGAGGCUUGGGUUUUAGGACUGAAACACAUCCAGCUGAAUGUGCAGCCAGAGAAAGUGGGACAAAAGUGUGGAAGGUUUUGUAUUCUGUGUGGUGUGUUCUGUGCUUUCAGGUCAGACAUCUGAGCCUCCAGGGUCUAUAUAAUACUCUACAGGUGACUUGUUCCAGGUAA